rnacentral:rRNA from 1 species
GAGUUUGAUCCUGGCUCAGAACGAACGCUGGCGGCAGGCCUAACACAUGCAAGUCGAGCGCGCCUUCGGGUGAGCGGCGGACGGGUUAGUAACGCGUGGGAACGUGCCCUUCUCUACGGAAUAGCCUCUGGAAACGGAGAGUAAUACCGUAUACGCCCUUUGGGGGAAAGAUUUAUCGGAGAAGGAUCGGCCCGCGUUAGAUUAGGUAGUUGGUGGGGUAAUGGCCUACCAAGCCUACGAUCUAUAGCUGGUUUUAGAGGAUGAUCAGCAACACUGGGACUGAGACACGGCCCAGACUCCUACGGGAGGCAGCAGUGGGGAAUCUUAGACAAUGGGGGCAACCCUGAUCUAGCCAUGCCGCGUGAGUGAUGAAGGCCUUAGGGUCGUAAAGCUCUUUCGCCUGUGAUGAUAAUGACAGUAGCAGGUAAAGAAACCCCGGCUAACUCCGUGCCAGCAGCCGCGGUAAUACGGAGGGGGUUAGCGUUGUUCGGAAUUACUGGGCGUAAAGCGCGCGUAGGCGGAUUAGAAAGUAGGGGGUGAAAUCCCGGGGCU